UGGCUCAGAGGUUAAAGCGUCUGCCUGGAAUGCAGGAGACCUGGGUUUGAUCCCUG
rfam:TPA: Bos taurus chromosome 17, whole genome shotgun sequence.